UACAGAGGGGGCAAGCGUUGUUCGGAAUUACUGGGCGUAAAGGGCGCGUAGGCGGCCUUCUAAGUCGAACGUGAAAUCCCUGGGCUCAACCCAGGAACUGCGUCCGAUACUGGAAGGCUUGAAUCCGGGAGAGGGAUGCGGAAUUCCAGGUGUAGCGGUGAAAUGCGUAGAUAUCUGGAGGAACACCGGUGGCGAAGGCGGCAUCCUGGACCGGCAUUGACGCUGAGGCACGAAAGCUAGGGGAGCAAACAGG
rnacentral:rRNA from 1 species